rnacentral:tRNA from 1 species
GGGGGCGUAGCUCAGUUGGGAGAGCGCUAGAAUCGCAAUCUAGAGGUCAGGGGUUCGACUCCCCUCGUCUCCACCA